rnacentral:rRNA from 1 species
AGUGGAUGGGGAGCAACCUAGUUGUGCGUGUGUAAAGGUAGUGCCAAGAAAAGCGAUGAUCAUGUUGAAAAUCAAUUCCCGGUACCCGAAACCGACACAGGUGGGCAAGUAGAGAAUACUAAGGGGCGCGAGGUAACUCUCUCCAAGGAACUCGGCAAAAUGACCCCGUAACUUAGGGAGAAGGGGUGCCACCGAGAGGUGGUCGCAGUGAAGAGGCCCAGGCGACUGUUUAGCAAAAACAUAGGUCUCUGCAAACUCGAAAGAGGAGGUAUAGGGGCUGACGCCUGCCCAGUGCCGGAAGGUUAAAGAAGUUGGUCAGUUUUAGGAUGAAGCUAGCGACUGAAGCCCCGGUGAACGGCGGCCGUAACUAUAACGGUCCUAAGGUAGCGAAAUUCCUUGUCGGGUAAGUUCCGACCCGCACGAAAGGCGUAACGAUCUGGGCGCUGUCUCGGAGAGAGGCUCGGCGAAAUAGGAUUGUCUGUGAAGAUACGGACUACCUGCAUUUGGACAGAAAGACCCUAUGAAGCUUUACUAUAGCUUGGAAUUGUGUUCGGGCUUCCUGUGCGCAGGAUAGGUGGGAGGCGUAGAAGGUAUUCUUGUGGGGAUACUGGAGCCAACGGUGAGAUACCACUCUCAGGAGGCUAGAAUUCUAACUUAAUUAAGGACAGUUUCAGGUGGGUAGUUUGACUGGGGCGGUCGCCUCCAAAAAGGUAACGGAGGCGUACAAAGGUUCCCUCAGACUGGCUGGAAAUCAGUCGAAGAGUGCAAAGGCAGAAGGGAGCUUGACUGCGAGAAGUACAGUUCGAGCAGGGUGGAAACACGGUCUUAGUGAUCCGACGGUGCUGUGUGGAAGGGCCGUCGCUCAACGGAUAAAAGUUACUCUAGGAUAACAGGCUGAUCUCCCCCAAGAGUUCACAUCGACGGGGAGGUUUGGCACCUCGAUGUCGGCUCAUCGCAACCUGGGGCGGAAGUACGUCCCAAGGGUUGGGCUGUUCGCCCAUUAAAGCGGUACGUGAGCUGGGUUCAGAACGUCGUGAGACAGUUCGGUCCAUAUCCGAUGUAGGCGUGAGAAUAUUGAGAGGAGUCUUCCUUAGUACGAGAGGACCGGGAAGGACGCACCGCUGGUGUACCUGUUAUGAUGCCAAUUGUAAACGCAGGGUAGCCAAGUGCGGAGAGGAUAACCGCUGAAAGCAUCUAAGUGGGAAGCCCACCUCAAGAUGAGUAUUCUGGUGUAAGGUCACGGGAAGACGACCCGUAAAUAGGCACGAGGUGGAAGUGCAGAGAUGUAUGAAGCCGAAGUGUACUAAUAGACCGUCGGCUUGACC